rnacentral:rRNA from 1 species
AUUGAACGCUGGCGGCAGGCCUAACACAUGCAAGUCGAGCGGAAACGAGUUAUCUGAACCUUCGGGGAACGAUAACGGCGUCGAGCGGCGGACGGGUGAGUAAUGCCUAGGAAAUUGCCCUGAUGGUGGGGAUAACCAUUGGAAACGAUGGCUAAUACCGCAUAACGCCUACGGGCCAAAGAGGGGGACCUUCGGGCCUCUCGCGUCAGGAUAUGCCUAGGUGGGAUUAGCUAGUUGGUGAGGUAAUGGCUCACCAAGGCGACGAUCCCUAGCUGGUCUGAGAGGAUGAUCAGCCACACUGGAACUGAGACACGGUCCAGACUCUACGGGAGCAGCAGUGGGAAUAGUUGCACGAAUGGGACGCAAGCCUGAUGCAGCCAUG